rnacentral:rRNA from 1 species
CACGUAGGGUGCGAGCGUUGUCCGGAAUUAUUGGGCGUAAAGAGCUCGUAGGCGGUGUGUCGCGUCGGCCGUGAAAACCUGCAGCUUAACUGUGGGCGUGCGGUCGAUACGGGCAUCACUGGAGUUCGGCAGGGGAGACUGGAAUUCCUGGUGUAGCGGUGAAAUGCGCAGAUAUCAGGAGGAACACCGGUGGCGAAGGCGGGUCUCUGGGCCGAUACUGACGCUGAGGAGCGAAAGCGUGGGUAGCAAACAGG